GCCUUCUUAGCUCUGUGGUAGAGUUGUGGCUUUUAACCACGUGGUUGUGGGUUCGAUCCCUACAGACGGUG
rnacentral:tRNA from 1 species